rnacentral:rRNA from 1 species
UACGUAGGGCGCAGGCGUAUCCGGAAUUAUUGGGCGUAAAGAGCUCGUAGGCGGUGUGUCACGUCGGCCGUGAAAACCUGCAGCUUAACUGUGGGCGUGCGGUCGAUACGGGCAUCACUGGAGUUCGGCAGGGGAGACUGGAAUUCCUGGUGUAGCGGUGAAAUGCGCAGAUAUCAGGAGGAACACCGGUGGCGAAGGCGGGGUCUCUGGGGCCGAUACUGACGUGGAGGAGCGAAAAGCGUGGGGGGAGCAAAACAGG